AGAAUCAACGCUGGCGGCGUGCCUAACACAUGCAAGUCGCACGAGAAAGGGACUUCGGUCCUAAGUACAGUGGCGCACGGGUGAGUAACACGUGAAUUAUCUACCUCCGAGUGGGGAAUAACUGAGAGAAAUCUUAGCUAAUACCGCAUAACACUUACGAGUCAAAGCAGCAAUGCGCUUGGAGAGGAGUUCGCGGCAGAUUAGUUAGUUGGCGGGGUAAUGGCCCACCAAGACGAUGAUCUGUAUCCGGCCUGAGAGGGCGCACGGACACACUGGAACUGAAACACGGUCCAGACUCCUACGGGAGGCAGCAGUGGGGAAUUUUGCGCAAUGGGGGAAACCCUGACGCAGCAACGCCGCGUGGAGGAUGAAAUAUCUUGGUAUGUAAACUCCUUUCGAUGGGGAAGAUAAUGACGGUACCCAUAGAAGAAGCCCGGCUAACUUCGCGCCAGCAGCCGC
rnacentral:rRNA from 1 species